rnacentral:misc_RNA from 1 species
CUCAGUGGAGCGUCUUCCGCGUUUGUGGCUGCGUCGCUUAAUUGGCCCCAAAGUAUCUCAAGUGUGUGAUUGUGAAAGUUCCUGCUACAAAAAUGUACGUGCGACGUGCUUGGCUCUUGGCCUGUUUGCUGUGCCUUCAUCCCUAUGCCCCCACGUUGGCGGAAGAGGAGGACUCUAAUCCGCUGCUGGACAUGGCUUCCAUGUUCUUCCAGGAGGCUCUGUCCAAUCAGAAUGGUGGCGGCAACAACGGUGGCGGCGGCGGUGGGGCAGGAGCUGGCCUGGCGGGCGUGGCCUCGCUGUUGGGCACUUUUAUGCAGGCCAACGGCAAGGGCGGAGCUGGAGGCGGCGGAGCUAUGCAGAUCCUUUCCGGCAUCGGCAGUCUUCUGGCCAACAAUGCCCGUGGUGGUGGCGGCCAGGGCGGUGGCUUCGACCCCUCUAUCAUCGGCAAUGUCCUGGAAAUGUUCACCCAGGGUGAUGAGGAGGAAUCCACUCCCAACCACAACCAGAAGCGAAGCAAUGGUGGCGGAUCGGAGUCUGGAAUCGGUCUGGAUACCAUCCUCCAGGUGGCUUCCGCUUUCAUGAACACUCAGGGAAAUGACAAGGCUACCCAUAAUCACCAAAAGCGAUCCGCUGGCGAGGAACCCGAGACCGACAACGGACUGAUGAACCUGCUCCCGUUGGUGAUGCAGGCGGUUAGCUCCUUCGCCGGUCCCGAGGGACAGAGCACCCAGGAGAAGCACAAGAGUCAUGCCUGGGUUCUGCCCCCAUUCCUGGAACACAUCCACGUGCUGUGGGAUCACUUCUCCAACUCGGAACUGGCGGAUGCCCUGUACGAGAAAUCCGGAGUCAACAAGAUAAUGAAGGGCUUCAAGGGCAGUGAUGGCAAACUGGACUAUGACAAGCUCUUCGAAUCGCUGAACAACCAAUCCUUCCGCCGCCGAUGGAUCAAGUCAGCCACACUCUACCUGGCCGACUGGGCCAGCUAUCUGGCCAAUCCCGAUGUCUAUCUCAGAUACUUCCAGACGGCACAGAUCAUGUUUAACGGCCUACUGAAGUCUCAAGGUUACCCGAAGCAGACGCACUUCGAUCCCGCCCGUCCUGGUGAGACGAUCUCCAAUCUAUUGGACCACGUGGCGAAGCAUCAUCUGAACGUGAAGAUCGACUCCCGGCAGUAUGUGAAGCCAGCGGUGGGCUAUGCCAAGGAGCUCCUCAAACUGGGCCAGGCCCGCGGUCUGUUGCAGUUCAAUGCCACCGAGAUCAGCGACAAGCUAACGGAUACGCUCAACCUGGAGGUUAUUGAACCGGUGCUAAAAGUCCAUCGCGCCUACAGAUACAUCUCGAAGACGCCGCAAUGCGAUCGUUAUGUGCUCUGCCAGCUGAAUGCAGUGGCUCUUGACCAGCAACAGAAACUCCAACAGCAGCAGAAGAGUCAACAUCGGCAGGCACAGACAUCGGCGUCCGGUUUGAUUGCCGGAGUUAGUCCGAAAAUUGUUAAGAUCGGCAGCAUGGGUGCUGCUAUAUUCAUUAGCACGGAAACCGGUACGCCGUUCUGGACGCUAUUCGGUGUGAUCAAUGCGCCAUACAAUUGCGAGGCCAAAUAUCCAGUCGAUUGCAAUGGCUUCCACGAAGGCGAGGCCAAGGUGACCACGGAGUACAUCCACAAUGAGUUGUAGACACUGUCGCCUUGGCUCCAGGCGGAGAUCGGGAUACGAUCGAUAGGGAGGAUUCUCAUUAAGACGACAUAGUAGCUGUAAUUGAGAUUUUAUGGAUUUUUUCUGGGUCUGGAUCUUAAGACAAUUUUCGGAAGACUUGUCAGAUUAAUUUCAACUAAUUUGGCUAGAUUUGAAGUCUAAAAUCAAGUUCACCAUAAUUUUCAAAACAACCACCAUUAUGAACUGAUGACUUUUACCUCCAAAGUCAACGAACCAUGAGAGAAAAUCUUUCA